rnacentral:rRNA from 1 species
UGGGGAAUAUUGCACAAUGGGCGAAAGCCUGAUGCAGCAACGCCGCGUGAGUGAUGAAGGCCUUCGGGUUGUAAAGCUCUGUCUUUUGGGACGAUAAUGACGGUACCAAAGGAGGAAGCCACGGCUAACUACGUGCCAGCAGCCGCGGUAAUACGUAGGUGGCAAGCGUUGUCCGGAUUUACUGGGCGUAAAGGAUGCGUAGGCGGAUUUUUAAGUGAGAUGUGAAAACCCUAAGCUUAACUUGGGGACUGCAUUUCAUACUGGAAAUCUAGAGUGCGGGAGAGGAGAAUGGAAUUCCUAGUGUAGCGGUGAAAUGCGUAGAGAUUAGGAAGAACACCAGUGGCGAAGGCGAUUCUCUGGACCGUAACUGACGCUGAGGCAUGAAAGCGUGGGUAGCAAACAGGAUUAGAUACCCUGGUAGUCCACGCCGUAAACGAUGAGUACUAGGUGUAGGAGGUAUCGACCCCUUCUGUGCCGCAGUUAACACAAUAAGUACUCCGCCUGGGAAGUACGAUCGCAAGAUUAAAACUUAAAUGAAUUGACGGGGGUCAUAGCUGUUUCCU